AGGAGCCGUAUGAGGUGAAAAUCUCACGUACGGUUCUGAAAUAGCAAUGGGAACAAUGAUGUUAUCAUCGAUUAUGAU
rnacentral:ncRNA from 1 species